CAGCAGCCGCGGUAAUACGGAAGGUCCGGGCGUUAUCCGGAUUAUUGGGUUUAAAGGGAGUGUAGGCGGUCUGUUAAGCGUGUUGUGAAAUUUAGGUGCUCAACAUUUAACUUGCAGCGCGAACUGUCAGACUUGAGUACACGCAGCGCAGGCGGAAUUCAUGGUGUAGCGGUGAAAUGCUUAGAUAUCAUGAGGAACUCCGAUCGCGAAGGCAGCCUGCGGGAGUGUUACUGACGCUUAAGCUCGAAGGUGCGGGUAUCGAACAGGAUUAGAUACCCUGGUAGUCCGCACUGUAAACGAUGGAUGCCCGCCGUUGGCGCCCUGCGCCUGCGGCCAAGCGAAAGCAUUAAGCAUCCCACCUGGGGAGUACGCCGGCAACGGUGAAACUCAAAGGAAUUGACGGGGGCCCGCACAAGCGGAGGAACAUGUGGUUUAAUUCGAUGAUACGCGAGGAACCUUACCCGGGCUUGAAUUGCAGUCGCUGCCCACAGAGACGUGGGCUUCCCUUCGGGGCGUCUGUGAAGGUGCUGCAUGGUUGUCGUCAGCUCGUGCCGUGAGGUGUCGGCUUAAGUGCCAUAACGAGCGCAACCCCCUUUCCCAGUUGCCAUCGGGUUAUGCCGGGCACUCUGGGGACACUGCCACCGCAAGGUGCGAGGAAGGUGGGGAUGACGUCAAAUCAGCACGGCCCUUACGUCCGGGGCUACACACGUGUUACAAUGGCCGGUACAGAGGGACGGUGUAAUGCAAGUUGCAUCCAAUCUUGAAAUCCGGUCCCAGUUCGGACUGGGGUCUGCAACCCGACCCCACGAAGCUGGAUUCGCUAGUAAUCGCGCAUCAGCCAUGGCGCGGUGAAUACGUUCCCGGGCCUUGUACACACCGCCCGUCAAGCCAUGAAAGCCGGGGGUGCCUGAAGUUCGUGACCGCGAGGAGCGACCUAGGGCAAGACCGGUGAUUGGGGCUAAGUCGUAACAAGGUAGCCGU
rnacentral:rRNA from 1 species